ACUCUCCCAGCUCUGCACUGUUACACUUGUUUUCACACGUGUGACUUUCGUAAUGGGGAGAGAGAGAAAGGACCUCCUCAGGACCUCAGGUUGGCCUCACAGUGGCCAACCUUUCCCUGAGGGCGCAACAGGC